UACGUAGGGGGCGAGCGUUGUCCGGAUUUACUGGGCGUAAAGCGCGUGUAGGCGGCUGCUUAAGUCGGGUGUGAAAGCCCGGGGCUCAACCCCGGGAUGCCGCCCGAGACUGGGCGGCUUGAGGUCGGAAGGGGGGAGUGGAAUUCCAGGUGUAGCGGUGAAAUGCGUAGAGAUCUGGAGGAACACCCGUGGCGAAGGCGGCUCCCUGGUCCGAUUCUGACGCUGAGACGCGAAAGCGCGGGGAGCGAACGG
rnacentral:rRNA from 1 species